AGCAAUUCGGCCUCGUCCGGA
rnacentral:miRNA from 1 species